rnacentral:sRNA from 1 species
GUGUCAUCCUUGCGCAAGGGUCAUGCGAGUCUUUUGCAUAUCAUUCUAAUAUUUUCAGUGAGCACUUACCCU